AGACCUCUUACUUUUAAAG
rnacentral:tRNA from 1 species